rnacentral:lncRNA from 1 species
CCAUCUUUUGACGGUGUCUUUGCUGGCAGGAGGAUGGUAUUGCAUCAUUGGGCCUUAAGACAGUAAAAGAAAGAGCAUCACGGAGUGGUGCAAGAGUUAUUAAUUUGACUUUGGUUAAGAAAACUGAGUGUCCACUCUAAGUAGGAUUGAUUAUUUGCCAUGUUUUUUUAAUCCAGGGACCAGAUCUUCUUCAGAAAGCUGGAGAUCAUGAAAGAGUUCUAUUUAUAAAGCCAUAAAGAUGAUGGUUUACAAAGUUCUUCAAUCAAAUCAAAACUUCCACAGGAACGUGCCUCAAGAGAGAUAAUCAUAACAUUCAGUUUUCAGGCUUCUGCAGAUACACCACUGAAGAAAUGAUGAAGGGUGGUGAUCAACGCUAACACGUGUCACAAGUUAUAUACAGCCUGAUUAAAUGACUCCUUGCGGCCAACUGGUCUUAGUGUCUGAUGCAUGCACUAGAGCUCAUCCUGAACUCAUCAUCAUCUCUUUUUCAGCAGGAACAUACUGGAAGGGUAACACUGAAGGGUCCUUUACAGAGCCAGGGAGGGCAG